GAGCGGCGAACGGGUGAGUAACACGUGAGCAACCUGCCCUAGGCUUUGGGAUAACCCUCGGAAACGGGGGCUAAUACCGAAUAUGACCUCCUGUCGCAUGGUGGGGGGUGGAAAGUUUUUCGGCCUGGGAUGGGCUCGCGGCCUAUCAGCUUGUUGGUGGGGUGAUGGCCUACCAAGGCGACGACGGGUAGCCGGCCUGAGAGGGCGACCGGCCACACUGGGACUGAGACACGGCCCAGACUCCUACGGGAGGCAGCAGUGGGGAAUAUUGCACAAUGGGCGGAAGCCUGAUGCAGCGACGCCGCGUGAGGGAUGACGGCCUUCGGGUUGUAAACCUCUUUCAGCAGGGACGAAGCGCAAGUGACGGUACCUGCAGAAGAAGCGCCGGCCAACUACGUGCCAGCAGCCGCGGUAAGACGUAGGGCGCGAGCGUUGUCCGGAUUUAUUGGGCGUAAAGAGCUCGUAGGCGGCUUGUCGCGUCGACUGUGAAAACCCGCAGCUCAACUGCGGGCCUGCAGUCGAUACGGGCAGGCUAGAGUUCGGUAGGGGAGACUGGAAUUCCU
rnacentral:rRNA from 6 species